AUCCAUCAUCCGAAAACUUCUACUUAGGUUAGAGGAGGAACUGAAGCCUUCCCCUUUCUCUCUUCGGGUUAGAAGAGAGGAAGCUCCACUCCUACUUCCGAUAAUCCCCUCUUUCACCGACUCUUCUCUUCCUCAUCAAGCUCUGGAUUCAUUUUCACCACAUCACCACCUCUCCUCUUCUGGGUUAGGAAGAGGAAAGCUUUAUACCUACCACCGACAGCCCCCAUUCCCUCUCCACUUCCGGUUAGAAGUGGAGAGUUCAUUUCCUCCACUCCGGCAGCCCUUCAUCGUCUCCAAACAGCUUGCUCCACUCUGGCAGCCCUCCAUAUUCCAUCUUCUGGUUAGAAGAGGGGAAGAGGUCACUUCUAGACAACCACUACAUCUGAAGGGACCACUAGGAAAAACACCAAAUUACCCAUUUCAACUGAUGCUCAAUUGAGAACAAUGCGAAAGGGAUCUGACGACCAUCUUGUUCUAAACAUCGAGUCUGGGUCUGAUCAUUCAAUUGCAGCAAAGUCUGAUGCUAAAGAUAUGCAGUGGUAGGUGUUUUGUCCCAGUCUCAAGCCGACAAUUCUUUUUGAGUGUAACUAGUAGAAGU